rnacentral:misc_RNA from 1 species
GAUGAAGAACGCAGCGAAAUGCGAUAAGUAAUGUGAAUUGCAGAAUUCAGUGAAUCAUCGAAUCUUUGAACGCACAUUGCGCCCGCCAGUACUCUGGCGGGCAUGCCUGUUCGAGCGUCAUUACAACCCUCAGGCCCCCGGGCCUGGCGUUGGGGAUCGGCGGAGCCCCCCGUGGGCACACGCCGUCCCCCAAAUACAGUGGCGGUCCCGCCGCAGCUUCCAUCGCGUAGUAGCUAACACCUCGCGACUGGAGAGCGGCGCGGCCACGCCGUAAAACACCCAACUCUUCUGAAGUUGACCUCGAAUCAGGUAGGAAUACCCGCUGAACUUAAGCAUAUCAAUAAGCGGAGGA